rnacentral:rRNA from 1 species
AUUGAACGCUGGCGGCAUGCUUUACACAUGCAAGUCGAACGGGCUUAGGUGCUUGCACCUAAGUUAGUGGCGAACGGGUGAGUAAUGCAUCGGAACGUACCGUGUAGUGGGGGAUAACCCGGCGAAAGUCGGAUUAAUACCGCAUACGAUCUAAGGAUGAAAGCAGGGGAUCGCAAGACCUUGCGCUAUACGAGCGGCCGAUGUCGGAUUAGCUAGUUGGUAGGGUAAAGGCCUACCAAGGCAACGAUCCGUAGCGGGUCUGAGAGGAUGAUCCGCCACACUGGGACUGAGACACGGCCCAGACUCCUACGGGAGGCAGCAGUGGGGAAUUUUGGACAAUGGGCGAAAGCCUGAUCCAGCCAUGCCGCGUGAGUGAAGAAGGCCUUCGGGUUGUAAAGCUCUUUUGUCCGGGAGCAAAUCCUGUUCACUAAUACUGAGCGGGGCUGAGAGUACCGGAAGAAUAAGCACCGGCUAACUACGUGCCAGCCGCCGCGGUAAAAC